GACGAACGCUGGCGGCGUGCUUAACACAUGCAAGUCGAACGGAAAGGCCCUGCUUUUUUGGGUUGCUCGAGUGGCGAACGUGUGUGUAACACGUUAGUAACCUUCCCUUGACUUUGGGAUAACUUCAGGAAACCGGGGCUAAUCCCGGAUAGGAGCUCCUGCUGCAUGGUGGGGGUUGGAAAGUUUCGGCGGUUGGGGAUGGACUCGCGGCUUAUCAGCUUGUUGGUGGGGUAGUGGCUUCCCAAGGCUUUGACGGGUAGCCGGCCUGAGAGGGUGCCCGGCCACAUUAGGACUGGGAAAGGCCCCAGACUCAUCACGGGGGCAGCGGUCGGGAUGAUAGCACGGGGAGAGGAGGUCUGAUGCAGCAACGUAGGGUGCGGGAUGAAGAUCUUGGUGCUGUGGGCCGCUUUCGCGGGUAGCGAGGAGUGAGUGAGGGUAAUGGGUAGAGAGGGCACGGCUAACUACGUG
rnacentral:rRNA from 1 species